GAAAUGAACGGUUUUGGCUGGAAAAUACCUGCAAUUUCUUUGUUUUGGAAUGGCUUUGAAACAAGCCUCACUUCUCGCAAAUCCUGCAUUUGAUUCACACUUUUCUUCGUUGUCUUUCACUUCUAUUCAUGCCACUACAUCUCUCGUCUCCUUCCCCCGACCGCCGGAGAUUCGCCGGAGCAACCGGAAAAUGGCCUGCACAGCCAUGGUUCAGCAGGUGUUACAGGGAGCUACGGCUACCUAUGCAAAGGAAAUGGAACGGCUUUCUGCUAAGGAAUCGUUGCUUCUUGCUUUUAAAGACUCUGGGAGUUUUGAAGCUCUAGUGACGGGGA
rnacentral:misc_RNA from 1 species